rnacentral:rRNA from 1 species
CCUACGGGGGGCAGCAGUGAGGAAUAUUGGUCAAUGGGCGCGAGCCUGAACCAGCCAAGUCGCGUGAGGGAAGACGGUCCUAUGGAUUGUAAACCUCUUUUGUCGGGGAGCAAAAGACGCCACGUGUGGCGUUCCGAGAGUACCCGAAGAAAAAGCAUCGGCUAACUCCGUGCCAGCAGCCGCGGUAAUACGGAGGAUGCGAGCGUUAUCCGGAUUUAUUGGGUUUAAAGGGUGCGUAGGCGGUCCGUUAAGUCAGCGGUAAAAUUGCGGGGCUCAACCCCGUCGAGCCGUUGAAACUGGCAGAC